rnacentral:rRNA from 1 species
GACGAACGCUGGCGGCGUGCCUAAUACAUGCAAGUCGAGCGAAGUUUUUCUGGUGCUUGCACUAGAAAAACUUAGCGGCGAACGGGUGAGUAACACGUAAAGAACCUGCCUCAUAGACUGGGACAACUAUUGGAAACGAUAGCUAAUACCGGAUAACAGCAUUAACUGCAUGGUUGAUGUUUAAAAGUUGGUUUUGCUAACACUAUGAGAUGGCUUUGCGGUGCAUUAGCUAGUUGGUGGGGUAAAGGCCUACCAAGGCGACGAUGCAUAGCCGACCUGAGAGGGUGAUCGGCCACACUGGGACUGAGACACGGCCCAGACUCCUACGGGAGGCAGCAGUAGGGAAUCUUCCGCAAUGGGCGAAAGCCUGACGGAGCAACGCCGCGUGAGUGAAGAAGGAUUUCGGUUCGUAAAGCUCUGCUGUUAGGGAAGAAUGAUUGUGUAGUAACUAUACACAGUAGAGACGGUACCUAACCAGAAAGCCACGGCUAACUACGUG